UACGGGGGGGGCAAGCGUUGUUCGGAUUUACUGGGCGUAAAGGGCGCGUAGGCGGCGCAACAAGUCAGUUGUGAAAUCUCUGGGCUUAACCCAGAGCGGUCAACUGAUACUGUCGUGCUAGAGUGCGGAAGGGGCAACUGGAAUUCUCGGUGUAGCGGUGAAAUGCGUAGAUAUCGAGAGGAACACCUGCGGCGAAGGCGGGUUGCUGGGCCGACACUGACGCUGAGGCGCGAAAGCUAGGGGAGCGAACGGG
rnacentral:rRNA from 1 species